GACAGAGGUGCCGAGCGUUAGGCGGAAUCACUGGGCUUAAAGCGUGUGUAGGCGGACCCGUCAGUGUCUUGUGAAAUCCCCCGGCUCAACCGGGGAACGGCUGGGCAUACUGCGGGUCUUGAGACACCUAGGGGCGAGCGGAACAGGCGGUGGAGCGGUGAAAUGCGUAGAUAUCGGGAGGAACACCAGUGGCGAAGGCGACUUCCUGGCCUGUUCUUGACGCUGAGGCGCGAAAGCUAGGGGAGCAAACGGG
rnacentral:rRNA from 1 species